CCCUUAGAUGUUCUGGGCUGCACGCGCGCUACACUGAAGCUAUCAACACGUUUUCCCUCCCUGAGAAGGGCGGGUAACCUUUUGAAUCAGCUUCGUGGUAGGGAUCGGGGCUUGCAAUUGUUCCCCGUGAACCAGGAAUUCCUAGUAGACGCGAGUCAUAAGCUCGCAUCGAUUAAGUCCCUGCCCUUUGUACACACCGCCCGUCGCUACUACCGAUUGAACGUUUUAGUGAGGCAUUUGGACCGACGCAUCUCAGUUUAACCGCUGGUUUGUUUUGGAAAGACUUCCAAACUUGAGCGUUUAGAGGAAGUAAAAGUCGUAACA
rnacentral:rRNA from 1 species